UACGAAGGGGGCUAGCGUUGCUCGGAAUCACUGGGCGUAAAGGGUGCGUAGGCGGGUCUUUAAGUCAGGGGUGAAAUCCUGGAGCUCAACUCCAGAACUGCCUUUGAUACUGAGGAUCUUGAGUUCGGGAGAGGUGAGUGGAACUGCGAGUGUAGAGGUGAAAUUCGUAGAUAUUGGGAAGAACACCGGUGGCGAAGGCGGCGACCUGGUCCGAUACUGACGCUGAGGCGCGAAAGCGUGGGGAGCAAACAGGAU
rnacentral:rRNA from 1 species